CGUAUGCACUGGCCAUUAAUAAAUCCCAAGGACAAUCAGUGAAAUUUGUUGGGGUUGAUUUGCGUACACCCGUAUUCAGUCAUGGACAGUUAUAUGUGGCACUAUCAAGAUGCACCUUUGUUGAUCGUGUCAGCGUACUUCGUCCUAAUAAUGAGCUUGAUUCUACAACAAACAUUGUUUAUCCUGAAGUGUUAUUGUCGUGAUGUGUAAUCAAAACAACCAAUAGACAAAAUAUAAAGGUAUGAUUAAUUUGUCAUUCUCUAUGUAAAUUUGUUCAAUCAACUCUUAAAAGGGUACUCUACAUUCUUAGUGUAUUUUUGUAGGAUUGGGAUGAAAAUGUUAUGGAUCUCAAAGAGGAAGAAUAUGACAUCAACAAUACUACAAUAGAAACGUAAUAAGGUUGUCGUGCAUUCUCCUAGAUGGAGACAUUAGAUCAAGACUUUUGAGAGGCAUAUUGAGGCGUACUUUGGAUAGCCGCAUUGAGGAGCAUUUGAGGACUUUUUGGGAGGCAUGUUGAAGACUUUUGAACGGAAAUACAACUCAAGUAUGUGAAUUGCGAGGCUUCCGAUCCGUAAGUAUGAAACUACCUUAUUGCGCAAGAGGCUGGUGUGCUUAGAUGUACUUAUGUUGUUAAAUGCAGAGCACUUGCUGGUGUGCUUAGAUUUGCUCUUAUGUUACAUGCAAACCAUUGACUGAUGUGUUUAGAUCUUGAGCCUGAUUUAGUUAAUGCAUAGCACUGGUUGGUGUGCAUUUUUAAAUGUUGGAUGGAUGGUGUUUUUUGUUUUAUCAAUUGUGUUAUGCGUUUUGUUGGGGAGAGGAAAGUUGUUAGGGAUUUUAAGAGAGGGAAGGGAAGCUAGGGGAUCAUAUAUUACAUUCAUAACUAUGCACACAGAGAGAUAUGAAAAAAGAUUACGUAUUUUCAGGCUCAUCUAUUUAAUUGUGUUUGAUUCGUUGAUAUUGUAGUUGAAAUUUGGGGACUCCAUUAAGCCUCCUGGGAUGGGGUGUCCAACUUUAGCUCCUACUUUAUUGUCCUUCGAAGGAAACUGAUUUCUGCUCCUAUUUCGGACAUGACAUGACACCAUAAUGGGGGUGUUGAAUUUUAAAAUUUUAUGUAUAUAUUCAUGUCCUUUUUGUGAAAUCAACAGUAGGGAAGAGUGGUUUAGUUUAUGAUGCACGGACACGGAUACGGAUACGAGGAUACAAAAAUUCUACAAAAAUGGGACACGGACAAGGCGGGAGAAACGCCACGUGUAUAUUUUUUCCAAGUUUAAAUGGCAAAAUGUAGACAAAACAUAACAUCCAUAGUUCUAAUACCAUUCAAAUAAAACAAGACAUUCAUGAUCCAUAAGUUCAAUACAAUCCAAAUACCCAAUUGAAAACAAAACAUGAUAAACAUCCAUAGUUCCAUAAUAAAUUAUGGGACACGCUAAGUGGCGUGUCCCAUACGUGUCCCAAGCCGUGUCCCCCUAAAAAAUUUAUAUUAAAUUAUGGGACACACCACAUGGCGUGUCCCAUACGUGUCCCCGAGGUAUCCCCGCGUGUCUCCGUGUUCGGACACUGCGAUACGUCGACCUCUAAAUGUGUCGGUGUUUUAUAGGUUUAGUUUAAUUGUGUUAAGAACACGUCGCGUCGUGCCUUUGGGCACGGACAAUUCAUAGAACAAAAGCUUUAACUCUAGAGAAUUGAUGCUCCUUGCAAAGGGAUAUUCAUAUAACAACCACAUUGCUUAAAACCAAGUUUUGUAUGUCUGUUGGGUAAAGCUUAAUGGAAAAGGUUGUGGGAAGUUAUGAGAUUUUCUUGAAAAAAUUAACUUAAUUUGGUUAGGUGAGUCACCAACACUGCUAGAGAUUGUCACAUCCGUUUUGGACACUGCAAAUACACUAGACACACCGGGAACAUGUACGUGUCCAUUUGAUUUUAAUAUGAUUAAUGGUGGGAUGAGCCUGGGACACGACAAUGUGAAUUAUAAAUUUUAAAAGCUUUGUGUUGGAGAAAAGUCUUCGAGAAAUACGAGUUUACAUAUUACUAUAACAUUAUGUCCAUAGCUCUUCGGCUAUAGUUCCUAUCUAUUUUUUAUAAAUUGUUUUUAGUUUCUAUGCUAACAGGAGGUGAAUUGAAGUGAUAGUAAAGGGAGCAUUGCCUGUAAAUUGAAUUGAUAGUAAAAGUUUUUGUCAGAUUUCAGCAAUAAUUCAGGCACGGCACAAUCCCUAUGGAUUGUCGUCGCCCAAAUGAACAUUGUUGUCGCCGGAUUAUGUUUACCAUAGCAGGAUCGUGUCGCUGGAAGUAUUGACUAUUCUGUGGAUUGAAGGCAACAACUCUUUGGUAGUACGUGAUUCUUGCGCGUUUGGUUUUGGUUUCUGUUAGGUAAUUGGCACACUGAAUUAUACCCUUUCUAUCAUGGUCUCUAUCUCUUUCUUUCUUUAUGGAUUUCUGGAACUAAUUUUUGUUAGAUAUCAAUAUAACUAGGUAAAAGGAGUGGGAGCUUAUAGGGUUUUGGUAAUUGGUUGUGCGGGAGCUUAUGUGGAGGCUCAUUGGUGACUGGUUGUGCGGGAUGAUAAAUCAGGUGGUCCAUUACGUAUAGGGUUUUGGUAAAUAUGAUGUAGACUCACCCUUGCAGGGCAUGUAUCUUGACUCAUAUUGUACUUAUGCAAAGAAACAACUUACCAAUAUUGUUUUUUUAGGGAUCUUUUGCUAAAUGUAAUGGAUUUGUUAUUAGAAAUGCCUUAUUGGAAUUGGACUGUGUUGGUUUUAUUUUGUGUAUAUUAUCGUAUUUUUCUUUAAUUCGCUUGCGGAUGACUAUGAUUAUCCGGGAAUAAUACUUUUUAAGACUAAACAAAAAAUAUACUGUGCUUUGCUUUCACGCACGGAUUGGUUAGUAGUGGAAAAGGGUAAUUCAAUUUAAUUGUGUUCAAAACGCAUUGCGCCGUGCCUUCAGGCACGGGCUCAAUCCCUAGUAUAUAUAUAUAUAUAUAUAUAUAUAUAGAGAGAGAGAGAGAGAGAGAGAGAGAGAACAUAUAACGUUUAGGAUUUUGGUUGUUUAACAUAUAUGAUUAUCUAUAUAUAUAUGGUUAUCUUUGCUUAUCUGGCAAUCCUUUUUAUUCCAUUAAACUCAAAUAUAAUGCGAUAUGUGUAUGUUAUCUGUCAUUCUUUAAUCUUUCACCAUACAACCACAUAUAUGUGGUUAUCUUUCUAUUCUGACAGAUAUGGUUAUUGAUUUGGUCAUAUAACUCUAUAUACAAUAAUAAAACAUGGUUAAAAAACAACUCACAUAUAACGUUAAAUGUUUUAAUUUAUUGAACUUGUCUGUGCAAUGGCCUCACUAACUUGCUUUUCAACAGGAUCCAAUCAAGAUUAUAUGUCUAAGUUUGAUCAUGCUUUAUUAUUGUACAUAGAGUUAUAUGUCCGAUCUUCAACAUGCUUUAUUAUUUUGAUGGAUGUGAUUUUCUUUCAUUUAUAUAAACAUAUAUAACAAUAGUCGAUGAUUUUAUAAUAAUAUUUGAAUGUUAGUGUUUAGGUUAUAUAUGAUUAUUGAAUCUAUGGUUAUAACCAUAUUUUUUUAGCUGCUAUUGAAUCCAUUGGUUUCAAUAGCAUCUGUUUCAUUCAUUCCCCCCUCAUCUUCUCCCAAAGCGCAAUAAAAGAGUUAUGAGUUCGUUAAUUCUAUUAUUGCUUAUGAAUUAUAAUUUUGUUCUUGUACUUAAUGUCUCUCAUUGCUUUUUUUUGCUCCGCUAUCUCUCAUUGCAAUUUGUUUCAGAAAAUGAUGCAUUUGUUGUGUUCCCGGUUCCUCGGUUGUCGAUCUUUCCGAGCCUUUGGAGAGACAGGCUCCCUCGUUAUGAGAGAGACUUGGCGAGCUCGUCUGGGCCCGGAUGAGGACCCACUACAAGGUGGAGGGCACGCUUGGAGUUGUAGCUAGGUUCAGAGAUAGGCCCCAUUGAGGUAAAUGAAAAUCAGAUCCAUUAGCUUUUUUAUUGGGCAUGUUGAUGAGUAUGAUUAGUGUAUCUAUUUUAUGAUAGUAGUGAUUUUGAUUAUUUAGGAGUAGGUUUUUUCAUUUCCAUAAAACGUGGAAGAGUUUUUUCAUUUCCAUAAAAUGUUGGGAUGUCUUCUUAGCAUUGUGAUGCCGUUUUAUUUUGCUUGCUUGUUCUAAUUGUAUUCCCUUUCACCUCUUAAUAAUAUCUUCUUCGCCGUUCAAAAAAAAUCACAUAUUUGUGGGUUUCAUUUUGCUUCUUUUUUUUUUUUGCUAAAAAAUUUGAGAAACUAGGGAUGAGAGGCAAAUUACAUUUGUAUAUAGCAUAGAUUGAUUGAUUUAAUCCUAGUAUUAGUCAUGUAACAAAUUCAAGAUUAAUGAAA